AGUGAACGCUGGCGGCAGGCCUAACACAUGCAAGUCGAGCGGAGCGGCGGACGGGUGAGUAAUGCCUAGGAAGCUGCCUGGUAGUGGGGGAUAACGUCCGGCAACGGGCGCUAAUACCGCAUACUAUCAGAUGAGCCUAGGUCGGAUUAGCCAGGUGGUGGGGUAAAGGCCUACCAAGGCGACGAUACGUAACUGGUCUGAGGGGAUGAUCAGUCAAACUGGAACUUGGACACGGUCCGGACUCCUACGGGAUGCAGCAGUGGGGAAUAUUGGACAAUGGGCGAAAGCCUGAUCCAGCCAUGCCGCGUGUGUGAAGAAGGUCUUCGGAUUGUAAAGCACUUUAAGUUGGGAGGCGUUACCAACAGAAUAAGCACCGGCUAACUUCGUGCCAGCAGCCGCGGUAAUUC
rnacentral:rRNA from 1 species